rfam:Felis catus isolate Cinnamon breed Abyssinian chromosome D4, whole genome shotgun sequence.
GCCUGGGUGGCUCAGUUGGUUAAGCAUCCGACUUCAGCUCAGGUCAUGAUCUCAUGGUUUGUGGGUUCGAACCCUGCAUCAGGCU